UAAUUCUGCUGUAGACUCUGACCUGUAAUUACAACACAGAUAGAGAGACGACAUACAUUGCGUGCUUGUUCUCGGCAGCUGAGUUGAGCUGAACGUUCUGUGUUGGUCACUUGGGUUAAAACAACUGCGGAUCGACCAUGUUUGGGAUGAACUUGCUUGCGAUUUGUGUGCUCCUGUGUGCUACCAGCUGCUCAGCUGAAAACGGGAAACAGAGGAGAAACGGAGCUAUGAAAAGGCCCAAAAGCAGGAUCUGGACCUCUAUGAAACCAAUCUGUAGAAACUCAUCUGCUUUUUAGAAAACGACUGUAUCCACACAGUGACCAGUCUAAUAGUGAUGCACAUUUUCAACAGAGAAUAUGGCUGAAUUUAAUUUACGUCAGCAUCCUAUGUAAUGAGGACUCCUUUUCUAAGUCAUCUUUUCUUUAUUUUUUUGAUUGUUUACACUGCUAUUUUCUUUGAGACAAAAGCCUUGGACCUUAUUAAAAAGAUGAAUGGUUAAAAAUGCGAGAAGGUUGCCUCUAAGUAUAAGUGUUAGGUUGUUGCAACACAAAGCAAGACUGGAGAAUGAUAUAAAUAAUUUACAAUUUGUCAUUUUUGUUAAAAUGUAAAUAAAAACAGAUUUUCUAAAAAAUAA